rnacentral:lncRNA from 1 species
UGCCCUGCUUUCAGCAGUAGCAUCAUGUUCCUCUUCUAGGUUAUUUGGCAUCAUUCAAGUUUAGUCUGAGAGCUUGUGUUUUGUGGUCCCUCCUUGUGAAGACAUAAUUUGCAUGAACAUUUCUUGAAAUGUCACAGUCAACUUUGGUUUCAUUGAAGGACAAUGGUGUUACAAGACAACUGGAAUUUGCAUUCAAGUAACAGAGCAGAAAGGUGCUGUUUCACAAAUGAAAUGACUGCAGGAGAAACAGAGUCUGAAAAUAAUGUGCCACGUAUCUGCUUUCAAAAUAUAUUAAUUUAUAACAAGGCAAGUCAGCAUGCAUUUUGAAACACUUCUUAUAAGAAGACUUCCAGUUUCCCCAGACAACUUGCCUUGCCCACGUGAAGAUGAGUCAUUGCUGUCCUUGAAAACCUUGCACACUGGAGCUGGUGGAAAGCUGUGUUGUCAGUGGUCCUGAAGGGCUUCUUGCUGUGAAGGACGCACCAACUAAGAACACUGACCCCUUAGAAAGUAGAAAGCUAUCCUGCUUCACAAGUUUUCCUACUUAGCAAGCAAAAUAAGCUCUUUUAUCAAGUUCUCUCAAAGACAGAGAUCCUCUCUGCAGCCUCUGUGCACGAAGCCUGAUGCACGUGUGGGGCUUUUUCUCUAAAGCUUUGUUAGAGGUGUGAGAUUUUCUUUGAAAUCUGCAAUUUGGGAGCUACUGUGAGGCAGUACUUGGAGACUUGGAGGGACUCGUCUUUUUGGUGGAUGUUUUACUCCUGAUUCCAGGUCUCUGAGUGUUAGAGACUUGAAAACAGGUGGCAGACUCACAGGGAUUUAUCCAGUCAAUUACAUCUGGAGAGAAAGAAAGAAGUAGAAAAACUAUAGAGAUUUUUAAUAGCUAUUUGCUUAUUUUGUGAAAUAGGCAUGACUGCAAUGAAUAGGCUGGGCCAAACAUAAAGUAGUUAAUUGACUCCACUGGUGAUCUAUGGUGGAAUUUGUUGAUCAGGAGCAGAAUUCUCUGGCUGGAACCAAGCAGAACAGGAGACAAAGGAGGAAAAUUGUCUCUGUUAAAACUGUGUGGAGAGUGCUGUCUGAGAGGCCUAUUAAUUAGAUAAACAUCUAAGUCAGGGCAGCUGUUUUCCUGGGAUUGUUUUUAGCCAUGUGACUUAGCUACUUGGUCACAUUAUAUGGCAAGAUAAUACACUCACAGAAAUGGUUUAAAUUGUUUUAUGUAGGAAACUUCCAGUCAACCCUGUCACAGUAAUGUCUCAAGGCAAAUUGCAGCAAAGCUUGGAAGAAUGUUUUGCAAAUUACUUAGGAUGUCAUAAAUAACGUUUUUCUAGUU